UUUAGGUCAGCACCAUAUCAAAUGGGAGACAACCCUGCAGGGGAUUAACACAAUAGCUGCUCAAAAUCAGGACUAACUCUGACGACUUGCGGAGAAACGAAAUCUGCUGAAACCAUGAAAACUGCCGAAACAACACACCUACAACUCAAGGGAUGCCAACAAACUCGGCUACUGAAACGCUAUCGGGGAUGAAAUAGGGAUUACGCCCACUGCUUAGGGAGAACCAAU
rnacentral:lncRNA from 1 species